rnacentral:rRNA from 1 species
GGGUCAGUAGGUUGGUCGUGCCACCGGUACGUACUGGUCUCACUGACUCCUCCUUCCUGAAGAACCGUAAUGCCAUUAAUUUGGUGUUGCGGGGAAACAGGACUGUUACUUCGAAAAAAUUAGAGUGUUUAAAGCAAGCUAACGCUUGAAUACAUUAGCAUGGAAUAAUGAAAUAGGACGAUCGAUCCUAUUUUGUUGGUUUCUAGGAUUGACGUA